GAGCAGGAUGGAGGCGCACACAUGCUGCAGCGACACGCACACCACAAACAAACGCGCAUGCGCAUCGCCGAGUGAAGCUCUCUCACACAGACAGUAGCUGCAGCCUCUCCCAUGUGUCUUUUUGCCCUGGGAGGGAGUUGAACCGUUCGCGUGGAGACGGACGGAGCGAACGGAUCUCAUGGAGGAAAAGCAGAGACGAGGAGACAAACAGAGACACACUGGAGGACGCUGAGACGCCGAGGACGAUGUGGAUUCGAACCGUCCGCGCUCUGGAAUCUUUUUAACUCAAGUCCCGGGGAGAGAGGAGAGACCGGGAGAGCGACGGAGGAGAGGGUCAGGAGCGGAAACUGGGGGUUGUUUUUUUUUGUUUUGUGGUCGGAGGCAAAUGGAGAGGAGACCGUAAGAGAGACGGUUUCACCAUCUUCACAGGAAACUAACGGCCGAAAGGACUCCCCCCACUGACAACUCACCCGUUCGUCCCUCACCGCUGCAGCGGCGCAGACCAAUGAGGAUGGACGUGGGACCCACGGCGGGGACACUGGUCCUGCUCCUGCUGAUCCCCGUUGGGCUG